rnacentral:pre_miRNA from 1 species
AGUUUUGCAGGUUUGCAUUCAGCUGUCAAAGUACAAGUGCUGUGCAAAUCCAUGCAAAACUGA